GCAUAGCCGUAAACAUAGAUAAUCUAUGAUAUCCGCCUGGGGACUACGAGCAUUAGCUUGAAACCCAAAGGACUUGGCGGUGCUUUAGACCCACCUAGAGGAGCCUGUUCUAGAACUGAUAACCCCCGCUAAACCUCACCCUCCCUUGUUAAAUCCGCCUAUAUACCGCCGUCGUAAGCUUACCCUAUGAAGGCAUAAUUAGUGAGCAAAGUCAGUACAACCCAAAACGUCAGGUCGAGGUGUAGUGCAUGAGAGGGGAAGAAAUGGGCUACAUUCGUCCACCGACGAACAACGAAUGAUCUAUUGAAAACAUAGAACUGAAGGAGGAUUUAGCAGUAAGCAGGAAAUAGAGUGUCCUUCUGAAACUGGCUCUGAAGCGCG
rnacentral:rRNA from 1 species